AAAACAUAUAAUAGUUUUGUUUGUGGAAACACCACGUAAAUUUAUUACUGCAGUAAUAAAUUUACGUGGUGUUUCCACAAACAAAACUAUUAUAUAUUUAAUUUGUUCAU